AUGUGCCACUCGUAUCAUUCCGGGUCUGAGCGCGCCGUCUGCAACCGCCUGACGACCGCCGUACGUUUGUUAGCC
rnacentral:sRNA from 1 species